rnacentral:rRNA from 1 species
AGAGUUUGAUCCUGGCUCAGGACGAACGCUGGCGGCGUGCUUAACACAUGCAAGUCGAACGAGAUCCAUUCAGUAGCAAUACUGAUGAAGAUCUAGUGGCGAACGGGUGCGUAACACGUGAGGAACUUGUCCCGGUCUCUGGGAUAACAGUUGGAAACGACUGCUAAUACUGGAUGACGUCGGAACUUCGCAUGGAGUACUGACGAAAGGGUUACUGGAUCGGGAAAGCCUCGCGGCCUAUCAGCUUGUUGGUGGGGUAACGGCCUACCAAGGCAUCGACGGGUAGCUGGUCUGAGAGGAUGAUCAGCCACACUGGGACUGAGACACGGCCCAGACUCCUACGGGAGGCAGCAGUGGGGAAUCUUGCACAAUGGGCGAAAGCCUGAUGCAGCAACGCCGCGUGCGGGAAGAAGGCCCUCGGGUUGUAAACCGCUUUCAGAAGGAACGAAACUGACGGUACUUUCAGAAGAAGGUGCGGCCAACUACGUGCCAGCAGCCGCGGUGACACGUAGGCACCAAGCGUUGUUUGGAUUUAUCGGGCGUAAAGAGCUCGUAGGCGGUUCAGUAAGUCGGGUGUGAAAACUUUGGGCUUAACCCAAAGCGUGCAUUCGAUACUGCUGUGACUUGAGUUCGGUAGGGGAGUGGGGAAUUCCUAGUGUAGCGGUGAAAUGCGCAGAUAUUAGGAGGAACACCGGUGGCGAAGGCGUUAUUCUGGGCCGAAACUGACGCUGAGAAGCGAAAGCAUGGGUAGCAAACAGGAUUAGAUACCCCAGUAGUCC